rnacentral:lncRNA from 1 species
GCAAACAUGUGGCAACCAAAAGGGGGUCGUGGUAAUAGCCUAUUGCAACCAUAAAAAAAAUAUGGCAUUCAAUUACACUAUUCAAAACCGUACAUAUAAUAGAUUCAUAAAACUCAUAAUUCUCAUAGCAAACCAUCAAAUGAAACUGGCCCAGUCAUAGACUAAAUUGUGCGUGGUCUCGAGUCUAGUCCAGGUAGUUUUUUGGAUCCUCCGUCAUCUCGAGUCCAGUCCAGCUAGUUAUUUUGAUCCUGCAAUCAAGAAAUCAAAAAAAACAUCCAGUUAAUUAGCCUAGUAUAACAUACCUCAAAAAUCAUAUCGAUGGUACUGCAAUAAUCCAAAAAACUCUUUUACAGAGACCUAGUCCUAAUAAGAAAGGACACAUCAUUUCGAUGAGAUAUUUUCUGAGACUCAGUAUGUGACUGCUAAUAUUUACUUUCCAAAGAUCUAUGAAAUCUUCUAUCUAUUAUAUACUUAAAAGGAUAGAAAACGAACGGCUAAGAUGUAACAGUAAAAAAAAGCUUGAAAGAACUAUCAGGAUUAGUUUUAAAGUACACGUAUGCAUGAUUCCUGUUCACGUGCAUGUCCACAUCGUGAGCAUUGUAAGACUGAGGGAAGGUGUCCAGGAGACAUACGCUAUACUUGAACUAAUAAAGGAUUCCUGAAGGCACACUUAUAUUGAUUUUAAAACAUCCGAUCUUCACAAGGAAAAUAUUUCAGAAAUAUAAUUAGGAAACAGAAAAAACAAGGAAAGAAAACACGUAAUGUGAGCAAUCAGAUCUUUUCCUUUUUAUGGUCAAUAAUGUUUACAAUUUUAAGAAUCUGACACGUGCAAGGUUUAACCAUAUUUACAAAGAAAAAUUCCUAUACAUGUCGGUCUAGGAUACGCGGCAGCUUUCUAAAAGAAGAUACAAGGCACCUAAUCAAUCGGUUUACGACCGGCUGUACAUAACUUUUCUUAACACCUGCGGAAAAAACUUAACCGGCAAGGUUGAUGUCAUGUUACGGACAGCCAUCCAUGAAACGCGUACGUGCAGAAUUCGUGUUUCUCACAUAAUGGGUGAUGUCAACAUCAUCUAAUUCUUUUUCUUAGCAAUCAGCAAUAUCUAAUUAAUCACAUAUUUUUCAAAUAAUAAAAUAGUUCUAUCUUUGUUUUUGUUUACAUGCUCUACACAUCAGACGGGAUAUAAUAUCUGCAACAAUGAGUAGAUAACGUUCCUUUCCUAUUGUCUUAACAAUAUAAUAGAUAGAUAACGUUGUAGGUGAAAAUGAAGAGUAAGCAAAGUUGUGACUUACAAUUGCUUUAAACAUUCGA